GUCCACGCCCUAAACGAUGACAACUAGUUGUUGGGGAUUUAACAUCCUUAGUAACGUAGCUAACGCGUGAAGUUGUCCGCCUGGGGGAGUACGGUCGCAAGAUUAAAAACUCAAAAGGAAUUGACGGGGGCCCGCACAAGCGGUGGAUGAUGUGGUUUAAUUCGAUGCAACGCGUAAAACCUUACCUACCCUUGACAUGCCAGGAAGUCCGAUGAGAGUUGGAUGUGCCCGAAAGGGAACCUGGACACAGGUGCUGCAUGGCUGUCGU
rnacentral:rRNA from 1 species